rnacentral:misc_RNA from 1 species
UUUCCAUAGGUGAACCUGCGGAAGGAUCAUUGUCGUGACCCUGACCAAAACAGACCGCGCACGCGUCAUCCAAUCCUCCGGUGCUCGUCUGUCGCUUGGCCAAUUCCUCGACCACCUCCCCUCCUCGGAGUGGGGGCUCGGGGUAAAAGAACACACGGCACCGAAGGCGUCAAGGAACACUGUGCCUAACCCGAGGGCAUGGCUAGCUUGCUAGCCGUCCCCCGUGUUGCAAAGCUAUUUAAUCCACACGACUCUCGGCAACGGAUAUCUCGGCUCUU